GACAGAGGUCCCGAGCGUUAGGCGGAAUCACUGGGCUUAAAGCGUGUGUAGGCGGAGUGCUAAGUACCUUGUGAAAUCCCACGGCUCAACCGUGGAACUGCUUGGUAUACUGGUUCUCUUGAGCCACCUAGGGGCAACCGGAACAAACGGUGGAGCGGUGAAAUGCGUAGAUAUCGUUUGGAACGCCAAUGGUGAAAACAGGUUGCUGGGGGUGUGCUGACGCUGAGACACGAAAGCCAGGGGAGCAAACGGG
rnacentral:rRNA from 2 species